AGAGUCCAAUUUUACAAAAGAGUUCUGUUCACACUGUAGAGGACUGACAGAGAGAAGGUCAGCUUCGGUACUUGAUCCUACGGGGAAGAUUGUAGAUAAACGGCUAAGACGAUGUGAUGGCCGGCGACUUAUGACGAAUAAAGUCCUUGGUCGGAGAUGUACGAUGGAACCCUAUUCCUCCGGAGAUGGACGAAGUAACUUUUUAAAUAGUUCUUUCAUCAAAGAGAGCGAUGGAUUCUAUGAUUUUUCCCGAUCGCUUGAAACAGAAAAAAAUUUUUUACUGGAUCUUUUUCCGGCGUUAGUUCCUUUCUCGACUACAGUUCUGUUUCCGACGGUUUCUAUCCGACCCCGAC
rnacentral:lncRNA from 1 species